GGGCGGGCGGACGCGGCGGCGGGCGAGAGGUGCCGUGCCAUCCCCGGCAGGAGAGAAGCUGGACUGGACCCAAAUGUUCCUGAAAUGCGAGAGAGAGCAUUCACAUCUGUCUGGAAUAAAAAUUGGAAUUUUGAGGGCAGCCCUGUUGGACGGCAGAUUGCAGCAAGAGGGAGGAAGACGGUGAUAGGCUUUCAAUGGGGGGCCUGGAAAGAAAGAAAAAAAAGAAGAAGGAAGAAAUGAAACCAUUCCCCGGCA